AACGAACGCUGGCGGCAUGCCUAACACAUGCAAGUCGAACGAGACCUUCGGGUCUAGUGGCGCACGGGUGCGUAACGCGUGGGAACCUGCCCUUAGGUUCGGAAUAACUCCCCGCAAGGGGUGCUAAUACCGGAUAAUGUCUUCGGACCAAAGAUUUAUCGCCUUUGGAUGGGCCCGCGUUGGAUUAGCUAGUUGGUAGGGUAAAAGCCUACCAAGGCGACGAUUCAUAGCUGGUCUGAGAGGAUGAUCAGCCACACUGGGACUGAGACACGGCCCAGACUCCUACGGGAGGCAGCAGUGGGGAAUAUUGGACAAUAGGCGAAAGCCUGAUCCAGCAAUGCCGCGUGAGUGAUGAAGGCCUUAGGGUUGUAAAGCUCUUUUACCCGGGAUGAUAAUGACAGUACCGGGAGAAUAAGCUCCGGCUAACUCCGUG
rnacentral:rRNA from 1 species